rnacentral:rRNA from 1 species
AACGAACGUUGGCGGCGUGGAUUAGGCAUGCAAGUCGGGGGAAUCCCAGCAAUGGGGGAACCGGCGUAAGGGGCAGUAAGGCGUGGGUACCUACCUUCGGGUUCGGGAUAGCCUUCAGAGAUGGAGGGUAAUACCGGAUGACGUCGAGAGACCAAGAUUUAUCGCCCGGAGAGGGGCCCACGUGAUAUUAGCUUGUUGGUGAGGUAACGGCUCACCAAGGCGAAGAUGUCUAGCGGGUAUGAGAGUACGACCCGCGCCACUCGCACUGAGACACUGGCGAGACACCUACGGGUGGCUGCAGUCGAGGAUCUUCGGCAAUGGGCGCAAGCCUGACCGAGCGACGCCGCGUGCGCGAUGAAGGCCUUCGGGUUGUAAAGCGCUUUAGUGGGGGAGAAAAGGGAAACCUUGAUCUAUCCAAAAUAAGCACGGGCUAAGUUCGUGCCAGCAGCCGCAGUAAGAC